rnacentral:rRNA from 1 species
UACGUAGGGUGCGAGCGUUAAUCGGAAUUACUGGGCGUAAAGCGUGCGUAGGCGGUUCGCUGUGUCCGAUGUGAAAGCCCCGGGCUUAACCUGGGAAUGGCAUUGGAAACUGGCGGGCUUGAGUGUGGCAGAGGGGGGUGGAAUUCCGCGUGUAGCAGUGAAAUGCGUAGAGAUGCGGAGGAACACCGAUGGCGAAGGCAGCCCCCUGGGCUAACACUGACGCUCAGGCACGAAAGCGUGGGGAGCAAACGGG